rnacentral:misc_RNA from 1 species
CGGUGAGCAAACUGCACAUCGGCAACGGGCUGGAGAAAGGCGUCACCAUCGGGCCGCUGAUCGAUGAAAAAGCGGUAGCAAAAGUGGAAGAGCAUAUUGCCGAUGCGCUGGAGAAAGGCGCGCGCGUGGUUUGCGGCGGUAAAGCACAUGAACGCGGCGGUAACUUCUUCCAGCCGACCAUUC